UGGAAGUGAAAGGGCUCUUCUGUUCAAAUUGGACUGCAAGAUUGGGGUCUUUGUAAAAUAAAAUUCCUACUGGAUGGAUCAGGAGUGUCUGCAUUUUCCUUAUAUAGAGAUCAGAAUAAUUUUUAUUUUUUUGAAAAGUGACAGGGAGUUUUAUAUUUCAGAUCUAAUGAAAUAAGACUUACUUUAAUUUUCUUUUCAACCUAUCACAGGAACAAGAAUUUCAUCCACAGUUGCUGAAUUUUUCAAAGUGAAGGAAAAAGGACGUUACGUAGGAGCUGGUGUAACUGGCGCAUGCCUAAUCCCGUCUUUUAGGAACUGGGAACAAUGUGAACCUGCGAAAGGGAAAGGAUUUUUGUGCUUCUCCUCCUCUUUGGCACCUGCAGGUGCCAGAGGCUGUGCACGUACUGGAUGUCCCCUACUGCCACUGUAGUCACUCGGGGUCACGUGCAUAGUGAAACUUCAGCCUUCCAGCUACUUGUGAGGCAGUAACACGCCUGUACUCUCAUGCCUGACUGACCGUGCCUCUGGUUUUUGCUGCUGUUUUUGAGGUAGUUGAAGAAGCAACACAUUUACAGCAAAUCAGGUAAAUGAUACGUCGGAGGAACAUAAAGCUGUUUUAUACAAGCACUCAUAAAAGACUUUUCUCCCGGUAACAAAUGGCAUCUAUGUCUCUUCCAGCAGAAUAUUCCUUACUCUGAUUAUCUAAAUAAAACCCAUGAUUGUGCAGAGGAAGGAUUUUUGAGUGCUACAAACAGAGGUCUGGACUUUUUUUUUUUCACCUGAAGUGCAAUGCUGUCUCAGUGGGCUACUGAAACACUGUUUUCCUUUCAUUUUGC